rnacentral:rRNA from 1 species
AGUGAACGUUGGCGGCGUGGAUUAGGCAUGCAAGUCGAGCGAGAACCGUAGCAAUACGGGGACAGCGGCGAAAGGGACAGUAAUGUGUAGGUACCUACCCCGAGGCCUGGGAUAGCUGCGGGACACUGCAGGUAAUACCGGAUAAUGCCGUCGGACCAAAGGUGUGUUUCCACCUUGGGAGGGGCCUGCAUCCUAUUAGCUAGUUGGCGGGGUAAUGGCCCACCAAGGCAACGAUGGGUAGCGGGUGUGAGAGCACGACCCGCGUCAUUGGGACUGAGACACUGCCCAGACACCUACGGGUGGCUGCAGUCGAGGAUCUUCGGCAAUGGGCGAAAGCCUGACCGAGCGACGCCGCGUGCGGGAUGAAGGCCUUCGGGUUGUAAACCGCUGUCGUAGAGGAGGAAAUGCAGGGGGGUUCUCCCUUCUGUUUGACCUAUUCUAGGAGGAAGGACGGGCUAAGUUCGUGCCAGCCGCCGCAGUAA